ACGAACGCUGGCGGCGUGCUUAACCCAUGCAAGUCGCACGGAAAGGCCCUGCUUUUGUGGGGUGCUCGAGUGGCGAACGGGUGAGUAACACGUGAGUAACCUGCCCUUGACUUUGGGAUAACUUCAGGAAACUGGGGCUAAUACCGGAUAGGAGCUCCUGCUGCAUGGUGGGGGUUGGAAAGUUUCGGCGGUUGGGGAUGGACUCGCGGCUUAUCAGCUUGUUGGUGGGGUAGUGGCUUACCAAGGCUUUGACGGGUAGCCGGCCUGAGAGGGUGGCCGGCCACAUUGGGACUGAGAUACGGCCCAGACUCCUACGGGAGGCAGCAGUGGGGAAUAUUGCACAAUGGGCGGAAGCCUGAUGCAGCAACGCCGCGUGCGGGAUGACGGCCUUCGGGUUGUAAACCGCUUUCGCCUGUGACGAAGCGUGAGUGACGGUAAUGGGUAAAGAAGCACCGGCUAACUACGUG
rnacentral:rRNA from 1 species